UACGGAGGAUCCAAGCGUUAUCCGGAAUCAUUGGGUUUAAAGGGUCCGUAGGUGGAUAAUUAAGUCAGGGGUGAAAGUCUGCAGCUCAACUGUAGAAUUGCCUUUGAUACUGGUUAUCUUGAGUUAUUAUGAAGUAGUUAGAAUAUGUAGUGUAGCGGUGAAAUGCAUAGAUAUUACAUAGAAUACCAAUUGCGAAGGCAGAUUACUAAUAAUAUACUGACACUGAUGGACGAAAGCGUGGGGAGCGAACAGG
rnacentral:rRNA from 1 species